UUUAAGUAUUAUAAAUUAGUUUUUAAAUCUUGGAUGUGUACCUACAUUAUUUAUAUUGGCUAAUAACCUCUUCUUAAUGUAAAAAAAGAAAUCUUUUUAACUGUGAUCUAUCAAAUUAUAGACCAAUUUUCUAAUCUUUCUUGUAUUUCUGAAAUUUAGAGAAAGGUGUAGGUAAGUGGUUCUCUAUAUUUUUGCAAAUAAAAGUAAUCUCUUGUAACAUUUUCACCCAGGUACUGCUUUAGUCAAAGUAUUCAAUGAUUUGCACUCCACUGACGAAGGUUGCAUUUUUAGGCCCAUAGUAUUACAUCUACAAAACACAUAACUAUUCAAUUGGGAGAGUCAGUACCACUGCUGACUCAAUGCAACAGAUGUUGCACCUUGUUCCAUUGUCCUUUUUGUAGUGGUAAUGUUUUUAAGCCCUCCAAACUGGAAAAAUUAAAAAAGCAUUUGAAGAGUCAUUUCAAGAAGGCAGUUCUCCAUGAAGGUAAAUUCAUUUGAGAGUUUAUUUUUAAUGUAUGUCCAGUACUGGUACAUACUGUAUACUUUUAACUCGGUAUUCUACAUUAUAACAAUUUAUACUGUUACACAUUUUAGGUUUUGCCAUCCACAGAUGUGGUUUAGACUGCAGACCAUCACAGCAUUAUCACUGCCCCUACUGCCAGACUACAAUAUUUUAUUUAAUUCAAGUGUAUAUUAUAAAUAUUUAAGUUAUCCAUCCAUCCAUCCAUUUUCCAACCCGUAUAUGCAAAAUGCCGUCACACUAAUAUUGAUAACACAUGCCUACUUUAAGAAGUUGUGCUUAUAUUCUGCUUACAUCAAGAUUUUCUUACUCUACCUAAAUAUCAGCACAUAUUGGAUAUUUACAUUUGUAUGUGUAAGACUUGUUUGUUUGUUUUUGUUACAGUAACAUGACAAAACGAAUAUCUUCAGGCACAUGGAUACUAAUUAAAAACAAGAUUAGUUUAUAGGAAUGUCAUUGAGAGGACUACAAGUAAUGGACAUUCUUUUGUAACUUGCAGUAGGUGAUAUGAAUCCAUUUCAAUUUCAGAAUCUUCCACAGCAGUUGGUUGGGUCAGUGGAUUCUGGAGUAUUCAUGUUGAUGUAUGCUCUGCACCUUGUCUUGGAUGAGCCAUUUGACUUCACAGCUG